GAAAAUUUAGUUUAUUAAACAAAACAAUAAAUUGUCAAUUUAAAGAAAUUUUUAUAAUAAUUUUCU
rnacentral:tRNA from 1 species